rnacentral:rRNA from 1 species
AUUGAACGCUGGCGGCAUGCUUUACACAUGCAAGUCGAACGGUAACAGGUUAAGCUGACGAGUGGCGAACGGGUGAGUAAUGCAUCGGAACGUGCCCGAUCGUGGGGGAUAACGCAGCGAAAGCUGCGCUAAUACCGCAUACGAUCUGAGGAUGAAAGCGGGGGACCGUAAGGCCUCGCGCGAUCGGAGCGGCCGAUGUCAGAUUAGGUAGUUGGUGGGGUAAAGGCUCACCAAGCCAACGAUCUGUAGCUGGUCUGAGAGGACGACCAGCCACACUGGGACUGAGAGACGGCGCAGACUCCUACGGGAGGCAGCAGUGGGGAAUUUUGGACAAUGGGCGAAAGCCUGAUUCAGCAAUGCCGCGUGCAGGAAGAAGGCCUUCGGGUUGUAAACUGCUUUUGUACGGAGCGAAAAGGCUCUCUCUAAUACAGGGGGCUCAUGACGGUACCGUAAGAAUAAGCACCGGCUAACUACGUGCCAGCCGCCGCAGUAAGAC